rnacentral:misc_RNA from 1 species
AAGAUCCUAUGACGAAGGCGUGACUGACAGACGAAAAUGGCCGACUUCGGAGAUCCCAUUUCGGAUAAGCAAAAGGUGGCCAUUGCCUCAGACUUUAUUUUACAUGCUCCGCCAGGAGAAUUCAAUGAGGUUUUUAAUGAUGUCAGAAUUUUACUUAAUGAUGAUGAUUUAUUAAAAGAAGGGGCAUCAGGGUCAUUUGCCCAGUAUAACAAAGACCAGUUUACUCCCUGUAAGAUCAAAGGGUCAGACGAAUUAGUAAGUACCAAAUAGUUUAAACAGAAUGAUAGGAAAUAGGUUUCAUUUACAUGACAGAAAAUAGGUUUCAUUUGCUGUCAGCUUCAAACUUAGUUUGGCUUCCAGUCUCCAGGCCCCACUUCCACACACAUGUGUAAAACAAUGGCGGAUGUUGAACCAAGAUCUAUAAUGUUGUUUUAAAAGUUUGGUUAGCAAGGGCAGAGUUACUGUGGUUUGAAUUUAUCAUAAAAGCCCAUUUUCAUAGUUUCAUUGUUUAUCGAUCCACAAGUUCCUGUUCUUGUUACCUUGUAAGCAAGACACGGGCAGUGAAAAUAAAUUCACCAUUACUUCCCUUUUACUGAUGCUAGAUGGGUGUAUUACAUGUGUGUCCCACUAGCAGAUCUCAGUUUAGAUUUUGAAGAUAGCAAGGCCUGAUGUAAACAGAUAGAAGAUUUGUUAAAGAUAUUGUACUAUUCAGUAUCGUUCUUAAUUGAGGAAACUAAGAUGAGGAAGUAAGAUUUUGUUCCUUGUGAAAAACUUAACAUUUGUAAGACUUUGUGUGAAAUUUCUGGUGAAAGAUAUGAAUAUAUUAUAAGAAGUGUUAUAUUGAGUUUCUAUUUUAAGUGAAAACUUGAAUGAGAUAGCUUAUUUGAGUCAAUAAUUUUAGUCCCAAGGUGAUGUAUAUAUAUUAAACAUUGCUGAUUGUGUGUAUGUGAAUGUGUUAGAAUGUACGUUAGUGUACAAAGCCAUAUUGGCAAGAUUGAAAGAAAAUCUAAACACCUUUUCAUACUUCUUAAGCAUUAUAAAGAGUCAAAUUCUUUUCAUUUGUUUUUAAAUGAAUUAUUUCUUGAGUUGUCUAAUUUUAAAUGUUAUUUUCUUAUAGCCAUCACAAUUAACAUGAGUAUAGAGAUAGAGAAAAGUGAAAAUGUAAGUUCUUGUGUGAUUUGACCAUAUUUUAUAUUUCUGCAUACAUUUUAGGUUUUAGUCACAGAACAUGGAGACUUGGGAGGAAGUAGGUUUCUAGAUCCCCGGACCAAACAGUCUUUCAAAUACGAUCAUUUACGAAAAGAAGCUACAGAGGAGCAGCCAGCUAAGGUAGACGCGGGGGCGGAGCCAUGGCGGUCCGCCAUUGAGGCGUCUCUCACUGCCUACCGAGACCAGCACUAUAAACAGGGGGUAGUGACCGUCUACGGCAAAAGCUCAGGGGGAAACACCACCAUCAUCGCUUGCAUUGAAAGCCAUCAAUAUCAGCCCAAAAACUUCUGGAACGGCAGAUUGAGGUCUCAGUGGUCCGUCACAUUCCCAGAGUCAGGGGGUGGCAAGGCUGAACUGACGGGGGUCAUCAAAGUACAGGUGCAUUACUACGAGGAUGGAAAUGUCCAGUUGGUCACAUCUAAGGAGGUGAAACAGACCCUGAACAUUUCGAAACAUGAAAAAAAAUCAACCAAAUCUGAGGAACAAACAGCAAAAGAGUUUUCCAAGAUAGUGGUAGAUGCCGAGUCCGAUUACCAGAAAGCCAUCGGAGAAAACUACCUGACCAUGUCGGACACUACGUUUAAGGCGCUACGACGACAACUUCCUGUCACCAGGACAAAAAUAGACUGGAACAAAAUUAUAGGUUAUAAAAUUGGAAGCGAGUUGAAGAAUGCAUGAGGAGUGCGAGGAGCCAAACAUGUUUAUUUCAAGUGGUUAAACAAAUCCAUUGCUGAAGAUUAUUCAUGGACUUCCAUCAUCUAAACCGUAAUACAAGUGACAAGUUGUCUGUACCAUAGUGUUUAUGGAUCAGACGUAGACUAUCCAUGAUCAGACCUAUUAUUUCUGUACAUUCUUCUUUCAUGUAUGCCGCAGUUUCUGCAUUAUCAGUGGACUGUUUUUCUCGGUUCAAUUUCUGUUGUAAAUUUCCAAGUGAGUUAUUAUUUGGCUAGUGUAGAAAUUUCCCGUCUGGGACUACAUUGUCGUUUGGUAGGAUAUGUUGAAUUUUGAUUUAUUUUGGAUGAUUUUUUUUUUUUCUCUAAGGAUGAAAAAGUGUUUUAAUGUGCAAUAUUUUUUAAAGGAAUAUUCAACCACUCGUUUACUUUUUUUUUAUCAUAUAAGAAUUAUGAUUUGACUUUGCAUGUGAAUUUAUGUUAGGGGAAAAUGCAUUUUCUGUAUGUAUAUUUACACACAGUUAUUUAGACAUGUAUAAAUUGUCUGUCCAGCAAAUACUUGUAUACAUUGACAAAGUCAAAAGUAAGACAUGAAUGUAAGAAAUCAUAAUUUUAAAAAAAAGAGACAUCAGAAAUAUGGAUCAUAAAUACUAGAGGAUAUAAAUGUCAACAGUACAUGUAACUUUUGUGAAAAUAAUAUCUGAACAGAUAUGUUGUUUAAGAUUAAUAUAUAGUAUUACAUAGUGUUUUGCAAAAGAAAUCCUACAGAAAUUAUAUUUUAAUAGCUCAGGAAUCAUGUUUUGAUUAGAGAAUUUUUUUAAAUUGCAAAUGAUUAAAAAAAAAAUGAACAUUGAAAACAGAGUGUGUAACAGGAUGCCAUAAUAUGAAGAAAGUCUCAACCACGAUGAGCUAUUUAUAGCAUGUCUCAUAGUCCUAUACUGAUUGCAGACUGAUGUUAAUUGUUUUAUAUAGUACUGUAUGAUGAUUACUAUUACUACUGUAUGAAUGUAAAAAUCUAACACAACUAUC